rnacentral:rRNA from 1 species
ACGGGAUCCUUGGCAGCUUGCUGCCGGGGUGAGAGUGGCGAACGGGUGAGUAAUGCGUGACCGACCUGCCCCAUGCACCGGAAUAGCUCCUGGAAACGGGUGGUAAUGCCGGAUGUUCCACAUGAGCGCAUGCGAGUGUGGGAAAGGCUUUUUGCGGCAUGGGAUGGGGUCGCGUCCUAUCAGCUUGUUGGUGGGGUAACGGCCUACCAAGGCGUUGACGGGUAGCCGGCCUGAGAGGGCGACCGGCCACAUUGGGACUGAGAUACGGCCCAGACUCCUACGGGAGGCAGCAGUGGGGAAUAUUGCACAAUGGGCGCAAGCCUGAUGCAGCGACGCCGCGUGCGGGAUGGAGGCCUUCGGGUUGUAAACCGCUUUUGUUCAAGGGCAAGGCACGGUUUCGGCCGUGUUGAGUGGAUUGUUCGAAUAAGCACCGGCUAACUACGUGCCAGCAGCCGCGGUAAUACGUAGGGUGCAAGCGUUAUCCGGAUUUAUUGGGCGUAAAGGGCUCGUAGGCGGUUCGUCGCGUCCGGUGUGAAAGUCCAUCGCUUAACGGUGGAUCCGCGCCGGGUACGGGCGGGCUUGAGUGCGGUAGGGGAGACUGGAAUUCCCGGUGUAACGGUGGAAUGUGUAGAUAUCGGGAAGAACACCAAUGGCGAAGGCAGGUCUCUGGGC